rnacentral:lncRNA from 1 species
AAAAAAGGAUUGGUCAGUUGAUAAGUACGUUCAUGGAGUCCUUUUGCUUACGUUUAUGAUUCAAAAUUUGUGCUCCUUCAUAUUUUAGGUUUAAGUCUGCUUAGUACGGACAAUGAAUUAAAGGGUGAUGAAAAAAUUUUAAAACUAGGUGUAGAGAUUCAAAUGUUAAUUAUUGAGUGUAAGUGACAAUUAUUAAAUAAUGAAUUAAAAAAGUUUGACCAUG